rnacentral:rRNA from 1 species
AUGGGCGAUGAGGGGCUAGGUUACAACUUCCCGUGCUCCUUGUUAUCUAGCAGCAACAGGGGACGCUCGACAAUUACAUCUUUAUCCAUUGCUGGUUGCGGUCUCCAUUCCCUUGACAGGGUUGGCUGCUUGAUAAGCUUGUGUGUAGUGCAUCUGCACAGGAUGCGUGUUACUGGAGAGCAACUUAUCUGCUUCCUGUCUACUUGUCCUAGUUUGCAGGAUCUGCAACUUUCCUACUGCAAUGACAUGGUUUGCCUGAAGAUACCUCAUUCCCUGUCGCGGCUCAAAUUGCUACUGGUACGCAACUGCAACAGUUUGCAAACGAUUGGAUGCGAUGCUCCACAACUCAAGAGCUUUGGAUAUGAUGGGUUGCCCACAACGCAGAUCUGCCUUGGAGAUUCAUCACCCUUAGUGAGGGAGAUGAGAAUGUCUGGUAUGGAUGAUGAGCCUACAGGCAUGCUCUGUUAUGCCACCACUAAGCUUCCUUCAGUCGCACCAAAUAUUAGCUCGCUUGUCUUAUCAUCAUGCUUUGAGAUUGCGACUCCAAUGAAAAAGCUUAACAAAUUCCGCCGCCUCAAGUACUUGGAGAUACAGCUUCAUACGCCAAGACGUUGUCCAGACUUUGAUUUUUAUUCCCUGGUUUCUAUUCUUAAUGCUUGUCCUGUCCUGGCUACUUUCAUCUUGCGUUUAGAGAUGCGCGAUGCUGAUGAUGCCAUUCCGGGAGAUCCUGAUGGUGAUUCCUCACCACGAAAAACGCAUAUGAGGGGGCAGGGCCAUCGCAAGUUGAAGAAUGUGCUAAUGAGGGGAUUUCCUUCUGCAAAAGGUUUGGUUGAGCUAACAAGUCACAUCCUUGAGACCGCAGCAUCCUUAAAGCGCCUGGUACUGGACACUGCAUAUGGCUGCCAUACGAGGGAUUGCAUUGGCAUAUGCUCGCCUUUAACGAGAAAGGCCCUCUUGGAAGCACAGAAAGCUGUAGAUGUCAUCAAGACAUACAUCGAGGGUAAAGUCCCCUCAAGUGUUAAAUUCAGGCUUAUCGAGCCAUGUGCCAAGUGUCACGCCGACGACGCAUAA